AUAACAAUACAGGGCUACAUCUAGUCUUGUAAUUGGAAUGAGUACAAUUUACAUCUCUUCACGAGGAUCAAUUGGAGGGCAAGUCUGGUGCCAGCAGCCGCGGUAAUUCCAGCUCCAAUAGCGUAUAUUAAAGUUGUUGCAGUUAGAACGCUCGUAGUCGGAUUUCGGGGCGGGUCGACCGGUCUGCCGAUGGGUACGCACUGGUUAACGCGUCCUUCCUUCCGGAGACCGUGCCUACUCUUAACUGAGCGGGGGCGGGAGACGGAACGUUUACUUUGAAAAAAUCAGAGUGUUUCAAGCAGGCAGCUCGCUCUUGCAUGGAUUAGCAUGGGAUAAUGAAAUAGGACUUUGGUGCUAUUUUGUUGGUUUCGAACACCGAAGUAAUGAUGAGAAGGGACAGUCAGGGGCACUCGUAUUCCGCCGAGAGAGGUGAAAUUCUCAGACCAGCGGAAGACGAACCACUGCGAAAGCAUUUGCCAGGGAUGUUUUCACUGAUCAAGAACGAAAGUUAGGGGAUCGAAGACGAUCAGAUACCGUCGUAGUCUUAACCAUAAACCAUGCCGACUAGGGAUUGGAGGAUGUUCACUGAUUGACUCCUUCAGCACCUUACGGGAAACUAAAGUCUUUGGGUUCCGGGGGGAGUAUGGUCGCAAGGCUGAAACUUAAAGGAAUUGACGGAAGGGCACCACCAGGAGUGGAGCCUGCGGCUUAAUUUGACUCAACACGCAAUUUG
rnacentral:rRNA from 1 species